UACAGUGGAGGGCAAGCGUUGUUCGGAAUUACUGGGCGUAAAGGGCGCGUAGGCGGCCUUCUAAGUCGAACGUGAAAUCCCUGGGCUCAACCCAGGAACUGCGUCCGAUACUGGAAGGCUUGAAUCCGGGAGAGGGAUGCGGAAUUCCAGGUGUAGCGGUGAAAUGCGUAGAUAUCUGGAGGAACACCGGUGGCGAAGGCGGCAUCCUGGACCGGUAUUGACGCUGAGGCGCGAAAGCCAGGGGAGCAAACGGG
rnacentral:rRNA from 1 species